AGACUCGGCCCGGGUGGCUCAACAGUUCGCAAAGUCCGGGCUUGCGGCCGGGCGGCGCAGAGGCGCGGAGGCUCCCCGGGCGGCUGCAUCCCGGGGCUGCCCCGGACAUGCCCCGCACCCCUUGUCGGACGCCCGCGCCGCUUCACCGGCUGCCACUCCCCGGAGUGCUCUGGGACUAGAGCGCCCUCCGCCCCAACUUCUGACUUUGGGGUCCCCCAGCCCUAGAGGAACGGGCGCCCGGCUGGGGGAGCCCCGGGCAUGGUGUGACGGGGCAGUCAGGUCAGCUUUGCGGCGCCCCCAAACUCCAGCCACCCGUCGUCUCCGUGCCCUCCAGAAUGUAGCUGCUGACCCCGCGCCCCCCGGACUCCAGCAGCAGUCUCCGCCACCUCCGGGCUCCAGCAGCCAACUCUUGUGUCUCUCAGGAACCCGCCGACGUCUCCGCGUCCCCCGGAUUCCAGGUUCGCGACCCCCGCCGUCUUCGCGCCUCCGGGACUCUAGCAGCGGUCUCCGCGACCCCCUAGGAUCCAGCCACUGUACCCGUGCUCCCCAAACCCAGGCUCCAGCCGUCGUCUCCGCGCUCCCGGGGAUCCAGCUGUCGCGCCAGUACCCGCGAGGACAGCGGCACCGCCCACACCCCGCGCGCUCAGAGCCCGGCCGGGCCUCGGCGUGGAGAUGAACGCGCCGCUGGACGGCCUGUCGGUGAGCUCGUCCUCCACCGGCUCGCUGGGCUCGGCGGCCGGGGCGGGCGGCGGCGGGGGCGCGGGGCUGCGGUUACUGUCUGCCAACGUGCGCCAGCUGCACCAAGCGCUGACCGCGCUGCUGAGCGAGGCGGAGCGGGAGCAGUUCACCCACUGCCUGAACGCUUACCACGCGCGCCGCAACGUCUUCGACCUGGUGCGCACCCUGCGCGUGCUGCUGGACAGUCCGGUCAAGCGGCGCCUGCUGCCCAUGCUUCGUCUGGUCAUCCCGCGCUCCGACCAGCUGCUCUUCGACCAAUACACGGCCGAGGGCCUCUACCUGCCCGCCACCACCCCCUACAGGCAGCCCGCCUGGGGCGGCCCCGACAGCGCGGGGCCAGGGGAGGUGCGCCUGGUGAGUUUGCGGCGUGCCAAGGCCCACGAGGGCUUGGGCUUCAGCAUCCGUGGGGGCUCGGAGCACGGCGUGGGCAUCUACGUGUCUCUGGUGGAACCAGGCUCUCUAGCUGAGAAGGAAGGACUGCGGGUCGGGGACCAGAUUCUGCGCGUCAACGACAAAUCCCUGGCCCGGGUGACCCACGCGGAGGCCGUCAAGGCUCUGAAGGGCUCCAAGAAGCUGGUGCUGUCUGUGUACUCAGCAGGGCGCAUCCCUGGGGGCUACGUCACCAACCACAUCUACACCUGGGUGGACCCGCAGGGCCGCAGCAUCUCCCCACCCUCGGGCCUGCCCCAGCCCCACGGUGGUGCCCUGAGGCAGCAGGAGGGUGACCGGAGGAGCACCCUGCACCUCCUGCAAGGAGGGGAUGAGAAAAAGGUGAACCUGGUGCUGGGGGACGGCCGGUCCCUGGGCCUCACGAUCCGUGGGGGAGCUGAGUACGGCCUUGGCAUUUACAUCACUGGCGUGGACCCAGGCUCUGAAGCAGAAGGCAGCGGGCUCAAGGUUGGGGACCAGAUUCUAGAAGUGAAUGGGCGGAGCUUUCUCAACAUCCUACACGACGAGGCUGUCAGGCUGCUUAAGUCAUCUCGGCACCUCAUCCUGACAGUGAAGGACGUCGGGAGGCUGCCCCAUGCCCGCACCACUGUGGACGAGACCAAGUGGAUCGCCAGUUCCCGGAUCAGGGAGACCAUGGCGAACUCGGCAGGGUUUCUUGGCGAUCUCACAACAGAAGGAAUAAACAAGCCAGGAUUUUACAAGGGCCCAGCCGGCUCCCAGGUGACCCUGAGCAGCCUGGGGAACCAGACACGAGUGCUGCUGGAGGAGCAGGCUCGGCACCUGCUGAACGAGCAGGAACACGCCACCAUGGCCUACUACCUGGAUGAGUACCGUGGUGGCAGCGUCUCUGUGGAGGCCCUCGUCAUGGCCCUGUUCAAGCUGCUCAACACCCACGCCAAGUUCUCACUCCUCUCUGAGGUGAGAGGCACCAUUUCCCCGCAAGACCUAGAACGCUUCGACCACCUGGUGCUGAGGCGUGAGAUUGAGUCCAUGAAGGCGCGGCAGCCCCCAGGCCCCGGGGCUGGGGACACCUACUCCAUGGUCUCCUACAGUGACACGGGUUCAUCCACAGGCAGCCACGGCACCUCCACCACCGUCAGCUCGGCCAGGGAGCGGCUGCUGUGGCUUAUAGACCUGAUGGAGGUCAUCAGGUUUCCUGAGCUCUGCAGUGAGAAUCCCGUCCAUUCAAAUCCCAGCUCUGCCACUUUCUUGCUGUGAGACCUCAGGAAGUGGUUUCACCUCUCUGAGCUCAGUUUUAGGAUCUGUAAAAUGAGGAUGGUAAUUUCUGUCCCGUGAUGUUGAGAGACCCCUUGGCCUUUGCAUAUGCCAUGUGCUUUCUGUCUGGAAUGUUCUUCUCCCCACUUCAUAUGACCUGACUUUCUCCUAUGUGUGCUUCAGCCCUCAGCUCAGAAGCUGCCUCUUCCAAGAAGACUUCCCUGAUCCUCCCAAGGGGAGUGACUUUCAGGCCACGGCUCCUCUUGCCCCCGGGCUUCCUUUGGUCACAGCUCUUGCCUCAUUAUGUCCUAUUAUAAAAGCCUGUACAGGUUUCCCAGUUACCCAAUGUGACUGCUGACUGCUUGAGGGCAGCGAUCGCACGUGCGGUUACCAUUGAGUCCCUAUCCCUAGUGCUCAGCACAGACCCUAGCCCAUAAUUUGGGCCUUUAUUAAUAACAAUAGUGGCUGAGAUUUGUUGAAUGUUCUCUAUGACACUGUGGUAGUGCUUUCCAUUCGUAUCUUCUUUGACCAUCCCAGGAGCUAGGAGUUGUGAGUACUGCUGUGAUCCCCAUUUUACAAAGAAGAAAACCAAAGCUCAGAGAGGAGAAGCAACUUGCCCAAGGUUGCAUGGCUAGUGAGUGAUGGAGCCAGGAUUCAAACCCAGGCUUGCUUGACUCUGAGCUCUGUUGUUACCCCUGCCAUCUGGCUGUGAUUCUUCCCUGAAGGAUCUCACCAGCUCCCUGUUAAGCAUCAUUUCGUCAUCUAUCUGCCUCUCUCCUCCCUUCCUUCUUCUUGUCCUUCCUUUCUGUUAACAAAUAUUGAGCAUUUACUGUGUGCUAUGUACAUUUUGAGGUUCUGGGGAUACAGUGGUGAACACCAAAGAAAUCCUUUCCACGAUGGAGUUGAACAGACAGCAGGAAUGCCAGGCAAUAACACAGGAUAUAGAUAACUGAAAUACACAGUAAGCUAAAUGAUGACAAGUGCUAGGGAGAAAAAUAAAGCAGGCAAGGGAGACUGGAGAGGGGUGGGGUGGUUAGGGAGUGACCCUUGAGUCAAGACCUGCAGGUGGUGAGGGAGAGAGCCAUGCCAACAUCUGGGAGAAGAGCAUUUCCAACAGAAGCAGCUGCAUGUGCAAAGGCCCUGAGGUAAGAGAAUGUCAGAGAAUUCCAGGCGGCCAAUAAGGCCAGAGCAGAGGGAGUACGGGGGCAGACAUGCUGAGGACUUUGACUCUGAGUGAGAUGGGAGUCCUUGGCAGGUAAGAGCAGGGAACUGAUGUGGUCUGACUUCGAUUUAACAGGGUCCCCCUGAUUAUUGAGAAUAGGUAAGAGUGGGUUUGUACCAAGGUGAACUGGUUAAUUCCUAGGAACCAGCCACACCCAGAGGUCUGUGGGCCACGAAGGGCCUGGGAAGGUCAUGCAGCCUGAGUUGCUAAAGAUGUGAUGAUGGGUUCUGCAGGCACCAGCUCCUCCUGUGGCUGGGUCAGCCCCUGCCCUGUUGUCUCCUGGGAACCCCUCUUCUCCCCACCCCCACACACAGCAGGUCUCAGAUUGGAGGCCCUUUUGCUCACCCUUCCUCAGGAGCGACUGCCUUUUGCUCACCCUUCCUCAGGAGCGACUGCUGUGGUUUAUAGACCUGAUGGAGGUACCACCCUUCCUGCCGGUGGGGACUGUGGGAGUCCCUUAGCCAUGCACACCCAUGUUGGCUGCAUGUGUGGCCACAGGACAAACCUCCUCCACGUGGAAGCCCUCCUGCAGAGUACGCAGGGCACUGGGACCCAUCCUAGGAGUCUGGACCCCCACACCGGUACUCCACUCUGUCUCUCCCAGGCAGUGUGCUCUCAAGAAAGCCCCUCACUCACUCUUGGCCUCAGUCUCCCCAUCUGUACAACCACGGAAGACCCCCAUGGCUCCUCCAGUUCUGAGAGUCUUCUCUGCAUCAGGAGGUGCUGGAAAAUAUUUGGGGGAGGCACAGCAAGGAAUGACAACUCUAUAUUCCCACCUCUUCUGUGUAUAUUUGAACAAGGACUGCAGCAUUCCUCCAGAGAGAGAAAGAGCUUGAAAUAAUCACCUUUAUUCACCACUAAGUGCCGCUGUGUGGUCUACAACACCACAUAUUACGAGAGCUGGUGCAAAAUGGAGGCCCAGAAAGUGUGGAACAGAAACUGGAAGGAAAGCACACACUCCCCGGCCACUUGCAGGAUUAUCUUCU